AUGGUACGUCCCCGACAGCCCGCUCUGGGAGCCCUACUUCCGACGCCGUCACGCCGAGCAGCUCAAGGUCACCAAUGGCAUCGUGCCCUCUGGCAGGCUCAACUCCAAUGGCCGGCGCCGGUGGUGGGGCGUGCCCGGUCGCACGUUGGAGGCGGUCCUCGAGUACAUCGAGGGCGGCAACACGCCUCGCCUCGAGUAACCCGCUCCCCCGUCCUUCUCACGUCGCCGUGGAAGCUCCUGGACGCCGAGGCGCAUGGAGCGGCCCGGACGUCCUCCUCCUCGUCCAGCCGCUCAUCGGGCUCUCCCUGCCUCCGCCCCGUCAAGCCGGAGCCCCAGGACACGCCUGUCAGCGCGCGCACCCGUAGCUCCGGCGUCCGCAUCGGCGACUCCGCCCCCUCCCCCCCCCCUUCCCCCCACACCGGCCGCUUCGUCCUCGUCGAGCCCAAGUCGGAGCCCGGCCUCCCCACGGAGUAUGAGGAGAUAGCCCGGCGCGGCUUCUCCGACGAGGACGCCCUGUGGUGGCGCGGGACGACUACCUCCGGACGGAGAUGA
rnacentral:rRNA from 1 species